rnacentral:rRNA from 1 species
UACGAAGGGGGCUAGCGUUGCUCGGAAUCACUGGGCGUAAAGCGCACGUAGGCGGAUUGCUAAGUCAGGGGUGAAAUCCUGGAGCUCAACUCCAGAACUGCCUUUGAUACUGGCGAUCUUGAGUCCGGGAGAGGUGAGUGGAACUGCGAGUGUAGAGGUGAAAUUCGUAGAUAUUCGCAAGAACACCGGUGGCGAAGGCGGCAUCCUGGACCGGCAUUGACGCUGAGGAGCGAAAGCCAGGGGAGCAAACGGG